AGUCACAGUCUGGCCGAAAAGGCGGUUACAGUCACCCGCUCCUCUCACUGAACUCGUCAUCGAUGCUGGCUCUCAAGCUUCCCUCGGCCUCUGCUUCGAGCUCUAGCUCUCCGACGAAGACGCUCAGUUCUGCACCCGCAUUCCUCAGUGGUAACUUCUUCAGCCCCAUCUCCAUCAAUGCUAAACCCCUAAAACCCAAAUCUAAACCCUAUUCGACCUCUCUCGUAAAAGCUGUUCUUCAAUGGAACAGAAAACCCCAGUUGGCCGGCGAAACUCCUCGUGUCGUUGUCAUCACUUCCGGCAAAGGUGGCGUCGGCAAGACCACCACUACCGCCAACAUUGGCCUUUCACUUGCCCGUCUCGACUUUUCUGUCGUUGCAAUUGACGCUGACGUUGGGCUUCGGAAUCUUGAUCUCCUUCUCGGUCUCGAGAAUCGAGUGAACUACACUGUUGUCGAAGUCCUCAACGGCGAUUGCAGGCUUGACCAAGCUCUUGUGAGAGAUAAGCGAUGGUCGAAUUUUGAAUUGCUCUGUAUAUCGAAACCCAGGUCUAAACUGCCGAUUGGUUUUGGUGGGAAAGCCCUGGUUUGGCUCGUGGAUGCCUUAAAGUCUAGGCAGGAAAGGUCGCCAGAUUUCAUUCUAAUUGAUUGUCCUGCGGGGAUUGACGCUGGGUUCAUAACUGCCAUAACCCCAGCCAAUGAGGCAGUUCUGGUUACCACGCCAGAUAUUACAAGCUUGAGAGAUGCUGACAGAGUCACGGGGUUGCUAGAAUGUGAUGGUAUUAGGGAUAUAAAGAUGAUUGUGAACCGGGUUCGGACGGAUAUGAUCAAAGGGGAGGAUAUGAUGUCCGUGCUUGAUGUUCAAGAAAUGCUCGGAUUGCCUCUUCUGGGAGUGAUUCCUGAGGAUGCGGAGGUGAUUAGGAGUACAAAUAGGGGGUACCCGCUAGUAUUGAAUAAACCACCAACUUUGGCCGGUAUGGCCUUUGAGCAGGCGGCCUGGAGGCUUGUAGAGCAGGAUAGUAUGCAGGCAGUGAUGGUUGAGGAGGAGCCAAAGCGUGGGUUUUUCUCCUUCUUAGGCUGGGGUUAGAAUCUGCUUUGAGAAUUGCAAGUUUGAGAUAGGUUGGCUUGUCAUGACAUUUCGGUUUUUCGGGUUGUGGAAAAGCUAAGUGUUUUUUUGGCUGCAAUUAUUUGUUUUAGACGUAGGUAGAAGGAGGAAGCUACGUACAGUGGGGUUAGUAAAGCAUAACUUUCUUCGUUUUCUUCACCAAGCAUUUCUUCAUUUUUAUUGGCACGCACAAUUUCCUUUCGUUGGGGAAUUAAGCUACCACUCUUUAUCUGAUAAGUUGAUAACAGGCUGUAAAAGUUGUGUCCUCCCUGUGGAAACUGCAUCAGUGAUAUGCUUUGCAGUUCUUCGUUACCCCCAACCUCAAAAUAUAUUUACAGGGGUACGGAAGUGUGGGUAAUUGUCGGUCAUAUGCUCAGCGCAACGGUAAAGAAGACCACGGUUCAGUUGUUUAAAUGGACCAAUUACGAGCAACAUGAUAAAGUUCCGUUUGGUGUUGACGGUUGUGAAAUUGUUUCGGCUGCAACUACUUGUUCU